rnacentral:rRNA from 1 species
GUCCCAGACUCCUACGGGAGGCAGCAGUGGGGAAUAUUGGACAAUGGGGGGAACCCUGAUCCAGCGACGCCGCGUGAGUGAAGAAGUAUUUCGGUAUGUAAAGCUCUAUCAGCAGGGAAGAAAAUGACGGUACCUGACUAAGAAGCCCCGGCUAACUACGUGCCAGCAGCCGCGGUAAUACGUAGGGGGCAAGCGUUAUCCGGAUUUACUGGGUGUAAAGGGAGCGUAGACGGUGCAGCAAGUCUGAUGUGAAAGGUCGGGGCCCAACCCCGGGACUGCAUUUGGAACUGUGUGGCUGGAGUGUCGGAGAGGCAGGCGGAAUUCCUAGUGUAGCGGUGAAAUGCGUAGAUAUUAGGAGGAACACCAGUGGCGAAGGCGGCCUGCUGGACGAUGACUGACGUUGAGGCUCGAAAGCGUGGGGAGCAAACAGGAUUAGAUACCCUGGUA